rnacentral:misc_RNA from 1 species
UACGGAGGGUGCGAGCGUUAAUCGGAAUUACUGGGCGUAAAGGGUGCGUAGGUUGUAUAUUAAGUUAUCUGUGAAAUACCUGGGCUUAACCUGGGAGAGUCAGAUGAUACUGGUAUACUAGAGUAUGGGAGAGGGCAGUGGAAUUUCCGGUGUAGCGGUGAAAUGCGUAGAUAUCGGAAGGAACACCAGUGGCGAAGGCGGCUGUCUGGCCUAAUACUGACACUGAGGCACGAAAGCGUGGGUAGCAAACAGG